rnacentral:lncRNA from 10 species
GAGUGAGUUCUUGCUCCAUUAGUUCCUGAUAUGGUUUGGCUGUGUACCCACCCAAAUCUCAUCUUGAAUUGUAGCUCCCGUAAUUCCCACAUGUUGUAGAAGGGACUCAGUGGGAAAUAAUUGAAUCAUGGGAGGGUUUCCCCUAUACUGUUCUCGUGGUAGUGAAUAAAUCUCAUGAGAUCUGAUGGUUUUAUAAGGGGUUUUCCCUUUUGCUUGACUCUCAUUCUCUCUUGUCUGCUGCCAUGUAAGUAGUGCCUUUGGCCUCCCACCAUGACUGUGAAGCCUCCCCAGUCAUGUGGAACUCCCCCUUCUCUCUCUCUCUCUUGCUUUCUCUCUUGCCGUGUGAUCUCUGUACAUGCAGGCUCCACUUUGCAUUGCACCAUUAGUGGAAGCUUCCCGUGGCCCUCACCAGAAGCAAAUACUGGUGCCACACUUCCUGCACAGCCUGAAGAACCAUGGCCAAAUAAACCUCUUUUCUUUAUAAAUUAUCUAGCAUCAGGUAUUCCUUUAUAGCAACAAGAAGAAAACUAAGGCAUUACAUAAGGGCAUAUGAUAUAAUGAAUUCUAUAAAGAACUCGAGCAAAAUUGCAUCACCCAGGAUUUGAGAAUAUAUAUUUGACUGAUACAAAUAACACCAUUUGAAGACAGGAGGAUUGUGUAGAAAAAUGUAAAAAUGCACAGCCAGCCUUUGUUAAGAGCUGUGAGUGUCAAUGUAUUUGGGACUUUAGGUUUGGAAAUUUGACUUCCAACACCAACCAGACUGAAGAUAGCACCACUCUUUCUAGACUGAAUCUUGGAGAAAUGAGUUUCCCAGAACCUCUGAUGCCCACCAUCAGAAAAGGGGAAUCCCAACAGCCAUUGCAAUUUGACAUUAUUAUAAAUGAGACCUUAGUUCCUGUGAAAAUGCCAUUAAAGCUUUGCUUUCAGUUUGUCUUGUUUUAGUCUGUUCUGUUUUGACUUACCAUUUUUGUGGUUGGUUUUAUUUGUUUUUUCACCAGUUGUGGUCAUUUCUCCAAGAGGUUUCAAUGAAGUUUCUUAUGAUUAUUUCAACAUACCAUGUCUGCUUCUAUUCUGAGUUUAUUUACACAAAGUGGCU